UACGUAGGGGGCAAGCGUUGUCCGGAUUCAUUGGGCGUAAAGAGCGUGUAGGCGGCCAGGUAGGUCGGUUGUGAAAACUGGAGGCUCAACCUUCAGAGGUCGACCGAAACCAUCUGGCUAGAGUCCGGGAGAGGAGAGUGGAAUUCCUGGUGUAGAGGUGGAAUUCGUAGAUAUCUGGAGGAAUACCGGUGGCGAAGGCGGCAUCCUGGACCGGCAUUGACGCUGAGGAGCGAAAGCUAGGGGAGCAAACGGG
rnacentral:rRNA from 1 species